AGCUCCGCCCCAAAAGCAAGCAAACGGCGGCCAUGACACUUUCUCCUCAUCGGAUCAUUGUUUACAUCAAACGGAGUGUUACAGAGGAAGUAUCUUUUAUAAGGUUGAAUGAAAUGGAUUGUAAUCUUAUUGCUACAUCUGUGAAGUUGUAAGAAGAAUGGAAAAGCGAAUUGAAAACAUUAUACAGUUCUAUCUCUGCAGUCAUCUACCUAUGAUGCCCGUUGUAUUGGUUCGGUAUCGGUAACUACCGGUACAAUCAGCGGCCACUUGUCUGCAUUUUCAAUACUGUUUUUACAAUCGUGUCUAUUUGAAUGUAACUAUCGCUUAUAUUCGUGCUUUGUUGUAUGUUGUAAGACGUCUGUGAUGUUGUGAAAUCGUGUGAAGGUGAUGCAGGCUACAGUUCAGUAACUUUAACAUGCUACUGGACAGUAGUUUAUUUUCGCUCCAGUGUUUAACACAGUUUGAUUCAACAUGUAUCAGUCAUGGAUUAGCUAAUACAUGCAUUAUGUUUUCUAGUUUAAUGGUGUGAUAAUCGCGAUAUUUGCCUUGCAUUUCAAUCUACACAUGAAUAUGGUUCUGUAAUGUAAGGUUGGCUAUUCUGUUCCCUUGACAUUCUGCAAGCAUGAAUUCUUUACACUAAUGGAAGAUAUGUGUUCAUCAUACUAGUUGGCAAUGUAUUGAAGGAUACACAACUCUCCAUAGAUGCAGUGUGGACUUUUUACAGAUGAAACCCCUUCCAUUAUGACACUCCCUUCCUGUAUCUGUCAUAAAGGCCAAUGCAUUCUUUGUCCUUUAGUUACACAACUAAAUCUAGUAGCUGUCACUUACCUUUCAUGCUGUAGGUCUGCUCUCAUGGUGCUGAGAAUGCUUAGUACUGUAUCUGUCACUUACCUUUCAUGCUGUAGGUCUGCUCUCAUGGUGCUGAGAAUGCUUAGUACUGUAUCUGUCACUUACCUUUCAUGCUGUAGGUCUGCUCUCAUGGUGCUGAGAAUGCUUAGUACUGUAUCUGUCACUUACCUUUCAUGCUGUAGGUCUGCUCUCAUGGUGCUGAGAAUGCUUAGUACUGUAUCUGUCAUGUAUGUAUUCUCUGUAUGUAUUAGGUAUGAACCCUUGGACAUACUGGUACCUCCUGCAAUCCCUCCUGCCUCACGUCUGGCCCCUGUCCCUGAUGAUCUACCCCAGGCCCUCUUGUAUUCACCCCAGGCUUCUGAACUUGCCCCAGUGUGGUGAAGACCAGAAGAGGGUGAUGUCCUUCCUGCCUCUCUCUCGCUCUCCCUUAAACACAGCUGGUGAUUCCAGAGAUGUGGAGGUCAUCUCUCAACAAGAAGCAGCAGCAGUGGAUUGACCAGACACUGUUUACCAGGAGCCUCCUACAGAGCUCACAGUUCAUCACUGUCCUUUCCCUGGUGGGGAGAAGACCAGAAGAGGGUGAUGUCCUUCCUGUCUCCAAGGCCUGCCUCAGAAUGUGCUGGGUGGAGAACUUCAGUGUUGUUCCACAGUGCAAGAAGUUCUUCCUGGAGGGAAAACUCCAAAUCUCCCAGGUAUUUUGUAUGAUGGGAUAGUCAAGAACAAGAGCCGGUACCACCCGAUCUGCCAGUUGUUCAAGAACACCUACAGGUUUGCAACUCUGUACGACACGACCAACAGGAUCCCUGUGUUCUCAGCCUACACCUUCACUGGUAAUAUAUCGGGUAGACCAAAAGAUGUCUGGAUGAUCGAGCCCCAGCUCGACGGGGUCACUGAAAAUGAAAUGCAGAUACAAGAUGGACGCAGUUACAAACACCAGGCUGAGCAAAAGGACUAUAAAUGCAAAAAUAAAAUUGUGAACAAAGGUCACCUCUUCCCAAGUUCACAUGCUCAUUACCUUGAAACUCAGGAGUCCACCUUUACCCUGACCAACAUCGUUCCCCAGGUCAUCACCUUCAACAAUGGCAGCUGGAAGGAAAUGGAGAGAAAUGUCAGAGGAACUCUUGUGAAGAACUGUAAGGAUGCUAACGACCAGAUAAAAGCCUAUGUGGUGACUGGGGCAGUUCCCAACAACAACAAAAACACACUGAACCAACGAGUGAACAUCCCGUAUCUCAUGUGGACAGCCUUCUGCUGUUACAACAAGAAGUACAAGAAGAACAUGAAGUGGAUGGCCGGAGCAUACUGGGGGAGAACAAGGAGGGGAAGGGGGCAUUGGAUCAACAAACCUUGGGAGCACUCGAAGAGAAGUUGAACAGAUAUUACCAAGGUCAAUGUAAAAAAGAAAAACAUAUUGUCAAGGUGUUCCCAAGAGAUUGUCCAAGAGAUACUAAACCUACCACUUCCUCCUAACCUAGUUGGAAGAAUUUCUUCCGUAGCGAAGAAUCUUUACAAUUCCAUGAGAAAUAGUUCUGGAAGUUUCUUUGGAUGAUCUGGGUACAGAUGCUCUCACCAUAUCAACAAACUAUCAUUACUGUUAGAGUAAUGAUUAUCAGGGUUAAAUUGGUUAUCAGGGUUAUACUGGUAGUGAGGGUUGUAAUGGUAAUGAGGGUUGAAUUGGUAAUGAGGGUAUAUAAUGGUUAUGAGGGUUAUAAUGGUAAUGAGGGUUAUGAGGGUUAUAAUGGUAAUAAGGGUUAUAAUGGUAAUGAGGGUUAUAGUGGUAAUGAGGGUUAUAAUGGUAAUGAGGGUUGUAAUGGUAAUGAGGGUUGAAUUGGUAAUGAGGGUUGUAAUGGUAGUGAGGGUUGAAUUGGUAAUGAGGAAUAUAAUGGUUAUCAGGGUUAUAAUGGUAAUGAGGGUUGAAUUGGUAAUGAGGGUAUAUAAUGGUUAUGAGGGUUAUAAUGGUAAUGAGGGUUGUAAUGGUAAUGAGGGUUGAAUUGGUAAUGAGGGUUGUAAUGGUAAUGAGGGUUAUAAUGGUAGUGAGGGUUGAAUUGGUAAUGAGGGUAUAUAAUGGUAAUGAGGGUUAUAAUGGUAGUGAGGGUUAUAAUGGUUAUCAGGGUUAUAAUGGUAAUGAGGGUUAUAACGGUUAUCAGGGUUAUAAUGGUAAUGAGGGUUAUAAUGGUUAUCAGGGUUAUAAUGGUAAUGAGGGUUAUAAUGGUUAUCAGGGUUAUAAUGGUAGUGAGGGUUAUAAUGGUUAUCAGGGUUAUAAUGGUAAUGAGGAAUAUAAUGGUUACAUGUCAACAUAUGUACACUUUCAAUUGUAAUACUUUUCUCUUCUGUCUAUAUAUCUAUAGUCUAUACUCUUCUCUUCCCUCUCUACCCAUCUCUUCUAUGUCUAUAUAUAUCUAUAGUAUAUACGCUCCUCUCCCCUCUACUCUUCUCUUCUAUGUCUAUAUAUAUCUAUAUUCUAUACUCUUCUCUGUUUAUAUCAAAUAUAAAAAUUAUAUAAGGGGACAGAAUUCUAUUUUAAUAAACAAAAUACAGUUGAAUUCUUUGAUGUGCUGCCAUUACUCUUGUUAAUGUUUAUAAUGAGGUUUACAGCAGGGUUGAGGUCAAUUCCAUUUCAAUUCCAGUCAGUUCUAGAAGCACACUGGAAAUCCAUUUCUCUGCCAUGCUUUUCAAUGAGGAACAUUUGGAAUUGUAAUGGAAUUAACCCCAACACUGGCCUACAGCUUGUCAGGUUGUGACUUCCGUAUGACUGUUACCAUGGAGAUACUAUUAUAUGUUCUGAAUGUAAUUCUUUCACUGUUACCAUAGAGAUACUAUUAUAUGUUCUGAAUGUAAUUCUUUCACUGUUACCAUGGAGAUAGAAUUACAUUCAGAACAUAUAAUAGUAUCACUGUUACCAUGGAGAUACUAUUAUAUGUUCUGAAUGUAAUUCUAUCACUGUUACCAUGGAGAUACUAUUAUAUGUUCUGAGUGUAAUUCUAUCACUGUAUGUCUCCAUCUUCUUCCCAUCUGAAGGAAUAAACAUCUAUAAUGAAUGAA